rnacentral:lncRNA from 1 species
GCGCCCUAUCAGUCUGUCCCUCUCCUCAGCAGAAAUCGUUACGAGGAAAACUGCCCCCGUCGGUGGCGCCUGAGCCGGUGGUGCCACUAUGUCCUCCUCCCGGGGUACAACCACGGGUGCUGCCUGCGAAGAACCGGGCGUGGGUGACGGCGCCUUCGGUGCCACGUCCACAACUGGUGCUGGCGGUGUAGGGGCCUGAGUCUCUCGAGCAGUAGCCUGCUGAAGUAGGAGAUCCUCCAAGCGCUUCAUCCGCGCCUCCUGUCGGCGUGCUGCCUCCGUCUGUUGUGCCACCAUAUCAGUGAGGGCCGCAAGCUGGCCCCUCAACUCUCGGACCUCGCUGGAUCCAGAGGUAGCGGAGGUCU